AUGCCGCCGCUCCCCCCAUCUCCGAUCCACACGUUCGGCCACUCCCGUGAAACUGCCAAAGCUUUUUUUUUGCCUCCCGCAGGCCAAUACAGUAUAGUAUUUGGAAAAGAAAAGGGAAAUGUAUUAAACCUUCUCCCCUUCCUGAUUGGGCGGGGAAGCUUUUGGAACGUUGCGGAGAGAGCCAACGGGAGGCGUCCUGACCAAUCACGGGCAAGGCGCUUCCGAAUGUUUAGCGCGACUCACGUGCGAUUUCCCUUUGAUGAUUGUUCUGGUGUAGCCCCAGCGGAAGCCCCAGCUGGUCAUCAAGGGGCUAGAUCGCAAGCCGUCCUGCCUACACACCACUCACUGAGCAGCUCGUCGUAGGUCCUACCUUAUGCUGGGGCAGUUCUAGAAAAGAAUCACCACCUUGCUUUUUGAAACUGGGGAUUUUAAAAAAAUCAAGUUUGUAGCUGUUCUGCUUCAGGAAGAAGCCCCCAUGGUAUCUGGAACUGCCAUCAAGGAGAUCUCUGGUGAAGUGAUCUGUUCCAUCUGCUUAGAAUAUUUCACAGACCUGGUGAUUCUUGUAGGCUGUGGGCACUGCUUCUGCCAAGCCUGCCUCACCCAGUACUGGCCGGACUCUGAUACAGAGUUUUCCUGCCCUCACUGCAAAGGAGUAGUUUGAGAAAGGAACUUCAAGCCGAACCGGUCACUGGCAAACAUUAACAUUGUCAAACUGGAGGAAGAAGAAAGAGCAGAAGAGAAAACUGUGUGCAAGGAAGAGGAAGAUCCCGUUGCCUUGGGAUAUGAGAAAUCCGGGGAGCAUCGGGCUGAUGGCGAAUUUCCUGUGGAUGAGACAUCCCAAGAGAGUAAGGUAGGAGCUUCUGAUUGUAUGAUCUGCAUUUAGAAGAACCAUUUCCAGAACAUAACUUGAUAGUAUUCUCCAAAUCUUUACAGAAGUUGUAGUCCAACAUCUGCAAGGCACCAAACUGGAAAGGCUGCUAUUUAGAAUGCCAACCGUUCUCAUCACCACCCAAUUAUAUAUGACUAAAUCAACUGUUGACACCAAGAAGGAGAAUGUUACUAUAUAUUUCUGUGUAUCACUCCCAUUAGACCUACUCAGCAUUGACUGGAAUUGAGAUUUGUAGACCAAAACAUCUGGAGAGCCAAAAGUCCAUAUGGGCUGGAAACCUGACUUGUUCAGUUUAAGUAUCCGAAAUAUUUCUGUCGAGCCAAGUAAUGUAUCCAAGGGCAGCCUUUUCAGAGCAAUCUGUUGGAGACACUCCAUGCAAAGAUUUGAAGAAUGUGUGUGAUCACCAUCUAAGAAUUGUUCAAAAGAGCUUCUAAAGGGUAUUAGUUAUCGUUGGCUUCGACCUACAGAGAGAGA
rnacentral:lncRNA from 1 species